GCUGAAUUUCCAUGAGGAGAUUUUUUUUUUUCUUUGCUGCAGCUGCAUGGAAUCACAGGAUUCUUGUGAAAAUGGAACAGGAAGGGGUCUGGGCUGCCUCUGCUGCUCUGGGCACCUCUGCCACCAGCCAGGGACACAGGCAGGCAGCCAGAGAGGCUGAAAACAACUUCUUCCUUCCCCUAAAUGCCACCAAGUGUUAAGAAGAUGGCACAAUGACAGCAGGCAUCUUGGUGAUGACAGCUCUCAACAUGUUUGUCUCCGGAGUCAUAAUCUAUUAAAAGACACAUAUAAUGAUCUCA